UGGGGAAUUUUGGACAAUGGGGGAAACCCUGAUCCAGCCAUCCCGCGUGUGCGAUGAAGGCCUUCGGGUUGUAAAGCACUUUUGGCAGGAAAGAAACGUCAUGGGUUAAUACCCCGUGAAACUGACGGUACCUGAAGAAUAAGCACCGGCUAACUACGUGCCAGCAGCCGCGGUAAUACGUAGGGUGCAAGCGUUAAUCGGAAUUACUGGGCGUAAAGCGUGCGCAGGCGGUUCGGAAAGAAAGAUGUGAAAUCCCAGAGCUCAACUUUGGAACUGCAUUUUUAACUACCGGGCUAGAGUGUGUCAGAGGGAGGUGGAAUUCCGCGUGUAGCAGUGAAAUGCGUAGAUAUGCGGAGGAACACCGAUGGCGAAGGCAGCCUCCUGGGAUAACACUGACGCUCAUGCACGAAAGCGUGGGGAGCAAACAGG
rnacentral:rRNA from 1 species